rnacentral:rRNA from 1 species
UCGAGCGAAUCGAUGGGAGCUUGCUCCCUGAGAUUAGCGGCGGACGGGUGAGUAACACGUGGGCAACCUGCCUAUAAGACUGGGAUAACUUCGGGAAACCGGAGCUAAUACCGGAUACGUUCUUUUCUCGCAUGAGAGAAGAUGGAAAGACGGUUUACGCUGUCACUUAUAGAUGGGCCCGCGGCGCAUUAGCUAGUUGGUGAGGUAAUGGCUCACCAAGGCGACGAUGCGUAGCCGACCUGAGAGGGUGAUCGGCCACACUGGGACUGAGACACGGCCCAGACUCCUACGGGAGGCAGCAGUAGGGAAUCUUCCGCAAUGGACGAAAGUCUGACGGAGCAACGCCGCGUGAACGAAGAAGGCCUUCGGGUCGUAAAGUUCUGUUGUUAGGGAAGAACAAGUACCAGAGUAACUGCUGGUACCUUGACGGUACCUAACCAGAAAGCCACGGCUAACUACGUGCCAGCAGCCGCGGUAAUACGUAGGUGGCAAGCGUUGUCCGGAAUUAUUGGGCGUAAAGCGCGCGCAGGUGGUUCCUUAAGUCUGAUGUGAAAGCCCACGGCUCAACCGUGGAGGGUCAUUGGAAACUGGGGAACUUGAGUGCAGAAAAGGAAAGUGGAAUUCCAAGUGUAGCGGUGAAAUGCGUAAAG